rnacentral:lncRNA from 1 species
AAAGUCUUCUGACAGCGAAUAGCAAGGAUAAAUGUUCUAAGGCCAUAAUGAAUUAGAUGUUUUGAGAAAUAGAGAAUAAGAAAUGGCAACCCACUCCAGUAUUCUUGCCUGGAAAAGCCUGUGGACAGAGGAGACUGGCGGGCUAUAGUCCAUGGGGUUGCUAGAGUUGGACAAGGCUUAGUGACUAAAUCACCACCACACCUCAGUGCAGCUGGAGCACGUUGAACUGAGGCCUAGAAUGGAGAGGAAUGAGGACUAUCUUAAAUGUGUGUGGACGCUUCUUUUCAAGGAAUGUGUGAAGCUGUCACCCUGCGGCAGCUGCAGGACAAUCCAGAUGUUACACAUAUGAAAUCCUGGUCUCAGCAUGGUGAUGAUCGUCAAAUGAGAACAGCC